UACAACUACAGAGUCAAGUAAUCUUAGGACAAGCUUCAUCCACACAACAUUUACUGCCUACAAUAAUACAGCAAGACUGUUCAGAGCCAUAUGUGAGCAACUUUAUUUUAGAAAAAGCAUCAACUUCAACAACAUUCCAACCUGUGGCUGCAGAUGCAUCUCAAGGUGCUUGAUGCUGGAACAUAAUUAUAGUUUUAUUAGCAAGCCUAAAAGAACAGCUGGAAAAGAUCUAAUGGUUCCACAGCGCACAAAGAUCAAGCAUCUUCAAGCAGAAAUAUCGCGCUUGCGAAAAAAAGAACAAUAUUUCAAAGCAAGGUUAAAAGGUGGUGCAGAUCGAUCAAUCGAAUUUUGUGAGGAAAAUAUACAUAUACAUAUGUGGGUGAAGACGAAACAAAAAAAGCUGCCCAACAAUAUUAUGAUAAACAUAAACAUUAUAAAAA